rnacentral:rRNA from 1 species
AGCAAAGGCGGCAGUCUACACAUGCAGUCGAGCGGCAGCACGGGUAACUAUGUACCUGGUGGCGAGCGGCGGACGGGUGAGUAAUGCCUAGGAAUCUGCCUAGUAGUGGGGGAUAACGUCCGGAAACGGGCGCUAAUACCGCAUACGUCCUACGGGAGAAAGUGGGGGAUCUUCGGACCUCACGCUAUUAGAUGAGCCUAGGUCGGAUUAGCUAGUUGGUGAGGUAAUGGCUCACCAAGGCGACGAUCCGUAACUGGUCUGAGAGGAUGAUCAGUCACACUGGAACUGAGACACGGUCCAGACUCCUACGGGAGGCAGCAGUGGGGAAUAUUGGACAAUGGGCGAAAGCCUGAUCCAGCCAUGCCGCGUGUGUGAAGAAGGUCUUCGGAUUGUAAAGCACUUUAAGUUGGGAGGAAGGGCAGUUACCUAAUACGUGAUUGUUUUGACGUUACCGACAGAAUAAGCACCGGCUAACUCUGUGCCAGCAGCCGCGGUAAUACAGAGGGUGCAAGCGUUAAUCGGAAUUACUGGGCGUAAAGCGCGCGUAGGUGGUUUGUUAAGUUGGAUGUGAAAGCCCCGGGCUCAACCUGGGAACUGCAUCCCAAACUGGCAAGCUAGAGUAUGGUAGAGGGGUGGGUGGAAUUUCCUGGGGUAGCGGUGAAAUGCGUAGAUAUAGGAAGGAACACCAGUGGCGAAAGGCGACCACCUGGACUGAUACUGACACUGAUGGUGCGAAAGCGUGGGGAGCAAACAGGAGUAGAUACCCUGGGUAGUCCACGCCGUAACGAUGUCACUAGCCGUUGGGGAGCUGAGCUCUUAGUGGCGCAGCUUACGCAUAAGUGGACCGCCUGGGGGAGUACGGCCGCAAGUUAAACUCAGAUGAAUGACGGGGGCCCGCACAAGCGUGGAGCAUGGUGGUUUAAUUCGAGCACCGCGAGACGUACCAGUCUUGAACAUCAUGACUUCUAAAAUAGAUGGUGCUUCCGGACAGUGAACCGUGCUGCAUGGCUGUCGUCAGCUCAGUCUGGCAAGUAGAUUAGUCCGUACCGAGGGCACCUG